rnacentral:rRNA from 1 species
GAGUGCGUCAUCGUGGCGGCCGGCACGCAGGUCUUCUGCGACGACGCCAACCCGAUCAAGCGGGAGGACGAGGAGAGGCUCGACGGCCCGGGCUACGACGACGUCGGCGGCGUCCGCAAGCAGCUCGCGCAGAUCCGGGAGCUGGUCGAGCUGCCGCUGCGCCACCCCAAGCUCUUCAAGACGCUGGGCGUGAAGCCGCCCAAGGGGAUCCUGCUCUACGGCCCGCCCGGCACCGGCAAGACGCUGCUGGCGCGCGCCAUCGCGGCCGAGUCGGGCGCCAACUUCGUGGUCGUCAACGGGCCGGAGAUCAUGUCCAUGAUGGCCGGCCAGAGCGAGGACAACCUGCGCGAGGUGUUCGCCCAGGCCGAGGCCCGGGCGCCGUCCAUCAUCUUCAUGGACGAGAUCGACGCCAUCGCGCCCAACCGCGAGAAGACGCACGGCGAGGUGGAGCGCCGCGUCGUGUCCCAGCUGCUCACGCUCAUGGACGGCCUCCGCCCGCGCGCGCAGGUCAUGGUCAUCGGCGCCACCAACCGCCCCAACAGCCUCGACCCCGCGCUCCGGCGCUUCGGCCGCUUCGACAAGGAGAUCGACAUCGGCGUGCCCGACGAGGUCGGCCGCCUCGAGAUCCUCCGCAUCCACUCCAAGGACAUGCCCCUCUCGGACGACGUCGACCUGGAGCGCAUCGGCAAGGACACGCACGGCUUCGUCGGCGCCGACCUCGCCGCGCUCUGCUCCGAGGCGGCCUUCCAGUGCAUCCGCCAGAAGAUGGACGUCAUCGACCUCGAGGCGGACACCAUCGACGUGGAGGUGCUCAACUCCAUGUCGGUGAUCAUGGACGACCUGGUGCACGCCAAGGAGGUGACCAAGCCGUCGGCGCUGCGGGAGACGGGGCUGGUGGAGGUCCCCAAGGUGUCGUGGGAGGACGUGGGCGGCCUGGAGGACGUCAAGCGGGAGCUCCAGGAGAUGGUGCAGUACCCGGUGGAGCACCCGGAGAUGUUCGAGCUCUUCGGCAUGGAGCCGUCGCGGGGCGUGCUCUUCUACGGCCCGCCGGGCUGCGGCAAGACGCUGCUGGCCAAGGCCAUCGCCAGGGAGUGCAAGGCCAACUUCAUCAGCGUCAAGGGCCCGGAGCUGCUCACCAUGUGGUUCGGCGAGAGCGAGUCGAACGUCCGCGACCUGUUCGACAAGGCGCGCCAGUCGGCGCCGUGCGUGCUCUUCUUCGACGAGCUCGACUCGAUCGCUGUCAAGCGCGGCAACAGCGUGGGCGACGCCGGCGGCACGUCGGACCGGGUGCUGAACCAGCUGCUCACGGAGAUGGACGGGAUCAACGCCAAGAAGACGGUGUUCGUGAUCGGGGCCACCAACCGGCCGGACAUCAUCGACCCGGCGCUGCUCCGGCCGGGGCGGCUCGACCAGCUCAUCUACAUCCCGCUCCCCGACGAGGCGUCGCGGCUGCAGAUCUUCAAGUCGUGCCUGCGCCGGUCCCCGCUGUCGCGCCGCGUCAGCCUCCCGGACCUGGCCCGCUCCACGGCCGGGUUCAGCGGCGCCGACAUCACGGAGAUCUGCCAGCGCGCGUGCAAGCUGGCGGUGCGCGACGUCAUCCAGAGGAGCUCGCUCGUCGGCAAGGCCGCGGCCAUGGCCGGCGCCGAGAUCACCCGGAAGCACUUCCUGGGGGCCAUGGAGCACGCGAGGCGGAGCGUCAGCGACCUGGACGUGCUCAAGUACGAGUACUUUGCUCGCAAGUUCAAGCAGGGCGGGAGCUUCGAGGAGGAGGCGCCGCCGCCGCCGCAGGUGGUAGGCCCGCCGCAGGGGCAUUUGGAGCUCAAGGCCGCGGAGGACGUCGAGGCUUCCAUGGACGAGGAUUCGCUGUACUGA